GAUGAACGCUGGCGGCGUGCCUAAUACAUGCAAGUCGAGCGAACAGACGAGGAGCUUGCUCCUCUGACGUUAGCGGCGGACGGGUGAGUAACACGUGGAUAACCUACCUAUAAGACUGGGAUAACUUCGGGAAACCGGAGCUAAUACCGGAUAAUAUAUUGAACCGCAUGGUUCAAUAGUGAAAGACGGUUUUGCUGUCACUUAUAGAUGGAUCCGCGCCGCAUUAGCUAGUUGGUCAGGUAACGGCUUACCAAGGCAACGAUGCGUAGCCGACCUGAGAGGGUGAUCGGCCACACUGGAACUGAGACACGGUCCAGACUCCUACGGGAGGCAGCAGUAGGGAAUCUUCCGCAAAGGGCGAAAGCCUGACGGAGCAACGCCGCGUGAGUGAUGAAGGUCUUCGGAUCGUAAAACUCUGUUAUUAGGGAAGAACAAAUGUGUAAGUAACUAUGCACGUCUUGACGGUACCUAAUCAGAAAGCCACGGCUAACUACGUG
rnacentral:rRNA from 1 species